CCUACGGGUGGCAGCAGUGAGGAAUAUUGGUCAAUGGGCGCGAGCCUGAACCAGCCAAGUAGCGUGAAGGAAGACGGCCCUACGGGUUGUAAACCUCUUUUAUAAAGGAACAAAGUGAGGCACGUGUGCCUUUUUGAGAGUACUCGAUGAAAAAGCAUCGGCUAACUCCGUGCCAGCAGCCGCGGUAAUACGGAGGAUGCGAGCGUUAUCCGGAUUUAUUGGGUUUAAAGGGAGCGUGGGCGGGGGGUUAAGUCAGAGGUAAAAUUGGGGGGCUCAACCGCGUAGGGCAGUUGAAUAGGGGUGUAUUGAGUGAGCGAGAGGGAGGCGGAAGGCGUGGGGUAGCGGUGAA
rnacentral:rRNA from 1 species